GGUUUAAUUCGACGCAACGCGAAGAACCUUACCAGGGCUUGACAUCCCUUGACUGCUGUAGAGAUACAGAGUUCAGCUUGCUGACAAGGAGACAGGUGGUGCAUGGCUGUCGUCAGCUCGUGUCGUGAGAUGUUGGGUUAAGUCCCGCAACGAGCGCAACCCUUAUCCUUAGUUGCCAGCACUUCGGUGGGCACUCUAAGGAGACUGCCGGUGACAAACCGGAGGAAGGUGGGGAUGACGUCAAAUCAUCAUGCCCUUUAUGACCUGGGCUACACACGUGCUACAAUGGCCUAUACAAAGGGUAGCGAAGCCGCGAGGUGGAGCCAAUCCCAAAAAGUAGGUCUCAGUUCGGAUUGUAGGCUGCAACCCGCCUGCAUGAAGAUGGAGUUGCUAGUAACCGCAGGUCAGCUAUACUGCGGUGAAUACGUUCCCGGGGCUU
rnacentral:rRNA from 1 species